rnacentral:rRNA from 1 species
GGAAAGAGCCCAGCACUGAAUCGCGCGGUCGCCGCGGCCGCGCGAGAUGUGGUGUUCGGGAGGUUCCGCUUUCUCGUCGUCGCGUCUCCUGUCCAAGUUCGUCUUGAACGGGGCCGUUUUCCCGUAGAGGGUGCCAGGCCCGUAGCGACGGAGGGCGGCGGCGAGAGGGACUCUCCUCAGAGUCGGGUCGCUUGAGAGUGCAGCCCUAAGUGGGUGGUAAACUCCAUCUAAGGCUAAAUAUUACCGCGAGACCGAUAGCGAACAAGUACCG